AUGAAGAGGUUGGGGCAAUGGCUUUUGAAGGAAAAGAAAAUAAUCGUUGGUCAUUCUUUGAGCAACAAACAUACAAGAGAAAUUCGUUGCCUCGUUAUAUUUGUGAGAAUGCAUUAUGACAAAGUAUCUUUGAUGCAGAUCCAUGAACUUGGAAUGAAAAUUGCAGUUCCGAAGACCCCGAACAAUCAGCUCGGGAAUCAAUUCGAUGGUAUGGAAAUGUCCAUUCUGCAAGAGGAGUUAAAAUCUACUAGUAAAGAUGUAGAGCUGACAAGAUUGAAGGAGAUGCUUUCCCAGAAAGAGGCAACUAAAGAAGACACAGACAUGGAAGAGAGAGAUAGAGCUGCAAAGGAUACAGACGCUCCUGAUCCGCAACCGAUAAAAGUGGAUCCCUAA
rnacentral:rRNA from 1 species